rnacentral:tRNA from 1 species
GCCUGGGUGGCGGAAAUGGUAGACGCAAGGGACUUAAAAUCCCUCGGUAAACUUUACCGUGCCGGUUCAAGUCCGGCCCCAGGCA